CCUACGGGUGGCAGCAGUGGGGAAUAUUGGGCAAUGGGCGCAAGCCUGACCCAGCAACGCCGCGUGAAGGAAGAAGGCCCUCGGGUUGUAAACUUCUUUUGUCAGGGACGAAACAAAUGACGGUACCUGACGAAUAAGCCACGGCUAAAUACGUGCCAGCAGCCGCGGGAAUACGUAGGUGGCAAGCGUUAUCCGGAUUUACUGGGUGUAAAGGGCGUGUAGGCGGGAGAGCAAGUCAGAUGUGAAAUUCCGGGGCGCAACCCGGGAACUGCCUUGGAAACUGGUUUACUUGAGUGAGGGGGAGGCAGGCGGAAGUCGGGGUGUAGCGGUGAAAUGCGUAGAUAUACGGGAGAACACCAGUGGCGAAGGCGGCCUGCUAGACAUUAACGGACCCUGAGGCGCGAAAGCGUGGGGAGCAAACAGGAUUAGAUACCCCGGUAGUC
rnacentral:rRNA from 1 species